rnacentral:rRNA from 1 species
GACGAACGCUGGCGGCGUGCUUAACACAUGCAAGUCGAACGAUGAAGAAGAGAAACGCGAACUUCGGUUCAAAUUUCACUUCGGAUUAGUGGCAGACGGGUGAGUAACGCGUGAGCAACCUACCUCUUACAAAGGGAUAGCCCUGGGACACCAUGCUUAAUACCAUAUGACACAUUCAUAAGGCAUCUUAAGAAUGUUAAAGCUACGGCGGUAAGAGAUGGGCUCGCGUCCCAUUAGAUAGUUGGGGAGGUAACGGCCCACCAAGGCGACGAUGGGUAACCGGGCUGGGAGGGUGAACGGUCACAUUGGAACUGGGACACGGGCCGAACUCCUACGGGAGGCAGCAAUGGGGAAGAAUGCACGAUGGAGGGAAGACGGAUGCAGCGAGGCUGCGUAAGCGAGGAAGGAAUUCGUUACGUAAAGCUCUGUUAUAUGGGAAGAAAAGGACUGUACCAUAGGAGAAAGCCCCGGCUAAAUACGUG